CCGAUCUUAGCUCAGCUGGAAGAGCGAAGGACUGUAAUCGUAACGCUUAAAUUGCGAUCCUUAGGUCGCCUGUUCGAUCCAGGCAGAUCGGA
rnacentral:tRNA from 1 species